AUUGAACGCUGGCGGUAUGCCUAACACAUGCAAGUCGAACGAGGUAGCAAUACCUAGUGGCGGACGGGUGAGGAAUACGUAGGGAUCUGCCCUUAAGUGGGGGAUAACCCGGGGAAACCCGGAUUAAUACCGCAUGAUCUCGCAAGAGCAAAGAGGGGGACCGCAAGGCCUCUCGCUUUUGGAGGAACCUACGUCGGAUUAGCUAGUUGGUGAGGUAAUGGCUCACCAAGGCGACGAUCCGUAACUGGUCUGAGAGGAUGAUCAGUCACACCGGAACUGAGACACGGUCCGGACUCCUACGGGAGGCAGCAGUGGGGGAAUAUUGGACAAUGGGCGAAAGCCUGAUCCAGCAAUACCGCGCGUGUGAAGAAGGACUC
rnacentral:rRNA from 1 species